GAUGAACGCUGGCGGCGUGCCUAAUACAUGCAAGUCGAGCGAACGGACGAGAAGCUUGCUUCUCUGAUGUUAGCGGCGGACGGGUGAGUAACACGUGGAUAACCUACCUAUAAGACUGGGAUAACUUCGGGAAACCGGAGCUAAUCCCGGAUAAUAUUUUGAACCGCAUUGUUCAAAAGUGAAAGACGGUCUUGCUGUCACUUAUAGAUGGAUCCGCGCUGCAUUAGCUAGUUGGUAAGGUAACGGCUUACCAAGGCAACGAUGCAUAGCCGACCUGAGAGGGUGAUCGGCGACACUGGAACUGAGACACGGUCAAGACUCCUACGGGAGGCAGCAGUAGGGAAUCGUCCGCAAUGGGCGAAAGCCUGACGGAGCAACGCGGCGUCAGUGAUGAAGGCCUUCGGAUCGGAAAACUCUGUUAUUAGGGAAGAACAUAUGUGUAAGUAACUGUGCACAUCUUGACGGUAACUAAUCAGAAAGCCCCGGCUAACUACGUG
rnacentral:rRNA from 1 species